AGUGAACGCUGGCGGUAGGCCUAACACAUGCAAGUCGAACGGCAGCACAGUAAGAGCUUGCUCUUACGGGUGGCGAGUGGCGGACGGGUGAGGAAUACAUCGGAAUCUACUUUUUCGUGGGGGAUAACGUAGGGAAACUUACGCUAAUACCUCAUACGACCUACGGGUGAAAGCAGGGGAUCUUCGGACCUUGCGCGAUUGAAUGAGCCGAUGUCGGAUUAGCUAGUUGGCGGGGUAAAGGCCCACCAAGGCGACGAUCCGUAGCUGGUCUGAGAGGAUGAUCAGCCAAACUGGAACUGAGACACGGUACAGACUACUACGGGAGGCAGCAGUGGGGAAUAUUGGACAAUGGGCGCAAGCCUGAUCCAGCCAUACCGCGUGGGUGAAGAAGGCCUUCGGGUUGUAAAGCCCUUUUGUUGGGAAAGAAAAGCAGCAGGUUAAUACCCCGCUGUUAUGACGGUACCCAAAGAAUAAGCACCGGCUAACUUCGUG
rnacentral:rRNA from 1 species